CAGCAGUAGCCGCGGUAAUACGUAGGGCGCAAGCGUUAUCCGGAAUUAUUGGGCGUAAAGAGCUCGUAGGCGGUUUGUCGCGUCUGCCGUGAAAGUCCGGGGCUCAACCCCGGAUCUGCGGUGGGUACGGGCAGACUAGAGUGAUGUAGGGGAGACUGGAAUUCCUGGUGUAGCGGUGAAAUGCGCAGAUAUCAGGAGGAACACCGAUGGCGAAGGCAGGUCUCUGGGCAUUAACUGACGCUGAGGAGCGAAAGCAUGGGGAGCGAACAGGAUUAGAUACCCCCGUAGUCCCUGUCUCUUAUAC
rnacentral:rRNA from 1 species